rnacentral:tRNA from 1 species
UGCGGGGUGGAGCAGAGGCAGCUCGCCAGGCUCAUAACCUGGAGGUCAGAGGUUCGAAUCCUCUCCCCGCUACCU